GGCGGAUAUAGCUCAAUGGUAGAGUAAUAAGUUGUGAUCUUAUUUGUUAAGGGUUCAAAUCCCUUUAUUCGCC
rnacentral:tRNA from 1 species